UGGCUCAGUAACACGUGGAGAAUCUAACCUUUGGUGGAGGAUAAUCUCGGGAAACUGAGAAUAAUACUCCAUAAACAUAGGAUGCUGGAAUGCUUCUAUGUUGAAAGGCAACGCCAAAGGAUGACUCUGCGACCUAUCAGGCUGUAGUGAGUGUAAUGGACUCACUAACCUGCAACGGGUACGGGUGUUGGAAGACAUUGCCCAGAGAUGGACUCUGAGACAUGAGUCCAGGUUCUACGGAACGCAGCAGGCGCGAAAACUCCGCAAUGUACGAAAGUACGACGGGGGAAUUCUGAGUGCUUACGCCUUGCGUAGGCUGUUUUCUUGUCUAAAAAACAAGGAGAGUAAGGGCUGGGUAAGACGGGUGCCAUCUCGUGCAAUUCUGCACUUAUUGUGUUCGUUGCACGAAGCACAAGCCGCCGCGGUAAUACCCGCGGCCCGAGUGGUGCUCAUUAUUAUUGAGCCUAAAACGUCCGUAGCCGGUUUAAUAAAUUCUUGGGUAAAUCAUAUCGCUUAACGAUAUGAAUUCUGAGAACACUGCUAAACUCGGGAAUGGGAGAGGCCAGAGGUACUUUCAGGGUAGGGGUAAAAUCCCGUAAUCCUGAGAGGACCACCGGUGGCGAAGGCGUCUGGCUAGAACAUAUUCGACGGUAAGGGACGAAGCCCUGGGGCGCAAACGGGAUUAGAUACCCCGGUAGUCCAGGGUGUAAACGCUGUAGAUUUGGUGUUGGAAAUCCUACGGGGAUUCCCAGUGCCGGAGAGAAGUUGUUAAAUCUACUGCUUGGGGAGUACGGUCGCAAGACUGAAACUUAAAGGAAUUGGCGGGGGAGCACCGCAACGGGUGGAGCGUGCGGUUUAAUUGGAUUCAACGCCGAGAAACUCACCGGGGGCGA
rnacentral:rRNA from 1 species